GAUGAACGCUGACAGAAUGCUUAACACAUGCAAGUCUACUUGAUUUAUGGUUUCGGCUAUAAUGAAGGUGGCGGACGGGUGAGUAACGCGUAAAGAAUCUGCCUUUUAGUCUGGGAUAACAGUUGGAAACGACUGCUAAUACCGGAUAUUAUGGAACUGCCGCAUGACAGUACUAUGAAAGCUAUAUGCGCUAGAAGAGGACUUUGCGUCCCAUUAGCUAGUUGGUGAGGUAACGGCUCACCAAGGCGACGAUGGUAGCCGGCCUGAGAGGGUGAUCGGCCACCAAGGGGAACUGAGACACGGUCCUUACUCCUACGGAGGUAGCAGUGGGGAAGUAUUUAGGACAAUGGACCAAAAGUACUGAUCCAGCAAUUACUGUGUGCACGAUGAAGGU
rnacentral:rRNA from 1 species